CCUACGGGAGGCAGCAGUGGGGAAUAUUGGACAAUGGGCGAAAGCCUGAUCCAGCCAUGCCGCGUGUGUGAAGAAGGCCUUCGGGUUGUAAAGCACUUUCAGUGGGGAAGAAAGCCUUGGGGCUAAUACCCUCGAGGAAGGACAUCACCCACAGAAGAAGCACCGGCUAACUCCGUGCCAGCAGCCGCGGUAAUACGGAGGGUGCGAGCGUUAAUCGGAAUUACUGGGCGUAAAGCGCGCGUAGGCGGUCUGAUAAGCCGGUUGUGAAAGCCCCGGGCUCAACCUGGGAACGGCAUCCGGAACUGUCAGGCUAGAGUGUAGGAGAGGAAGGUAGAAUUCCCGGUGUAGCGGUGAAAUGCGUAGAGAUCGGGAGGAAUACCAGUGGCGAAGGCGGCCUUCUGGACUGACACUGACGCUGAGGUGCGAAAGCGUGGGUAGCAAACAGGAUUAGAUACCCUGGUAGUC
rnacentral:rRNA from 1 species